CGGAGUCAAUUAAGAUGACUUAGUGGCGGACGGGUGAGUAACGCGUGGGUAACCUGCCUCACACAGGGGGAUAACAGUUAGAAAUGACUGCUAAUACCGCAUAAGCGCACACUAUCGCAUGAUAGAGUGUGAAAAACUUUAGUGGUGUGAGAUGGACCCGCGUCUGAUUAGCCGGUUGGCAGGGUAACGGCCUACCAAAGCAACGAUCAGUAGCCGGCCUGAGAGGGUGAACGGCCACAUUGGGACUGAGACACGGCCCAAACUCCUACGGGAGGCAGCAGUGGGGGAUAUUGCACAAUGGGGGAAACCCUGAUGCAGCGAACGCCGCGUGAGUGAUGAAGUAUCUCGGUAUGUAAAGCUCUAUCAGCAGGGAAGAAAAUGACGGUACCUGACUAAGAAGCUCCGGCUAAAUACGUGCCAGCCGCAGC
rnacentral:rRNA from 1 species